CUCACAGUCUGCUCUUCCAAAGGAGGGUACAGAUCGCCAUCCACAGUGCAAACAAGCAUCUGUAAUCCCCAUAUAAACACAAAGGUUGCAUAUUGCGAUGCAGGAAGAAAAGGAUGUGAAAGCUUUGCUGGAAAAUGAACGGUGGCUGCCGAAGGGAUUCACAGGCACAGGCAAAAUGCAAACAUCAAGCUGAUGCAGGGGAUUCUGAACUACUAAUAUGACAAUACAGAAACUGGCCAUGUCAUACUGGGCAUCAACCCAUCAACGUGUACACAGGGUUUCUCAGAGAGAGGAGCAAGCAAAGAAGCUGCUGAGGCAGGCGAGAGGAACAGCCCAUACCUGGCAGAUAUCUGCUGUCUUAUAGAAGGUUUUCUUAUCGAUGGUCUUUAAGCUCUCGAUGAUGCAGGGCAGGUCCACCAGCUUGGCUGCCAGAGGCACUCGAUCCACACGAACGAUCCCAUGGCGCCCAUCGGCUGUGGAAAGCCACGGGACAGGUUCUGCAGCUUCACCUGUGACCCAUCAGAGGAGCUGCAGCAUGCCUCGAUCCUUCUCACUCACCGUGCAGCUCAAUGG